ensembl:lncRNA LINC00963 long intergenic non-protein coding RNA 963
GAGUCAUCGCCGCCCCCGGCCCCGACGCUGGCCUGCGGCGUCUGUUUGUGCAGAGCGAGGCCCCGCCGGCCGGGCUUGACGUCAGGCUGGCAGGGCCUGGAACGGCCCCGCAUCGCGGCCCCCUGGGGGCAGGACGACACCGCUGGGGGCCGAGGGCAGGGCACGCCUUCGGAAUCCGGCUUCGAAGCCGGCCGCCUGACCUGGGGCAAGUGCUUUCAACUCUCUGAACUUCGGUUCCUCAUCUGCCAGUUGGCAGACGCUCAGCAAAUCUUCCUAGACUCACGGGGCGAAUUGUACAGUUGGGUAAAUCGAGGCCCAGAGAUGGCAAAAGGACCGUCCAAGGUCGUACAGCCACCCGGAAUUACAAUUCUUUUCUGCCGGGUCACACGCUGUCAUCCACGUGUUACCUAAGAGAGCUUUCCAGCCUGUGCUAAGAAAACUGCCCCACAUCAUCUGCAGUAGGACGGGGGAGUUGGAGCCCUGGUCAGGCCACUCUGCUACUGACCACAGUUUUCUCAUCUCUAAAAAGGCGCAGUAACAAUAUAAUUACCGUAUGCAGUCCCCCAGGAUACAGGGUCAAAGGAGAGCACAACCAUCGCAGUUGGAAGCCCAUGGGGCAGCAGGGCCCAGGACACAGUGAGCAUACAAUAGACAUUAGCUGCUGUGGUGUCUUGAUUUCAAGCCCAGUGCAGAUGCAUCUGACUUACGAAACUUCAGUGACACCUGCUCUGUGCCAGACACUGAAGAUGGAGCAGUGAACAGCACUGACCCAGCCUGUCCUCCUGUUGCCUGCAGGCCAGAUGCCGUUCCAUUGUUUGCUGACUUUCAUUGAUUCUAUGAGAAGUCUGCAGUCUUUUGCAGCGUUGUUUUCCUAUGUAUAAUUGUCUCCUCCCACCCCACUCACCCCAGCUGCUUUCCACAUUCUCUCUCUUUGAUUUUCAGCAGUCUGCCCAUGAUGUGCCUAAAUAGGACUUUCUUUGCAUUCAUCUUGGCUGGGGCUCACUGAACUUUCUGAAUCUGUAGAUUAAUUUUCUUUUUUCAAUAAACCUUGGAAUAUUUUCAGCAUAA